rnacentral:rRNA from 1 species
UGCGUAGGUGGCUAAUUAAGUCAGUGGUGAAAGCCUGCAGCUCAACUGCAGAGGUGCCAUUGAUACUGGUUAGCUUGAGUAUGGACGAGGUAGGCGGAAUUUGUGGUGUAGCGGUGAAAUGCAUAGAUACCACAAAGAACACCGAUAGCGAAGGCAGCUUACUGGACCAUAACUGACACUGAGGCACGAAAGCGUGGGGAGCGAACAGGAUUAGAUACCCUGGUAGUCC